UGGCGAGGUAACGGCUCACCAAGGCUAUGACGGGUAGCUGGUCUGAGAGGACGACCAGCCACACUGGGACUGAGACACGGCCCAGACUCCUACGGGAGGCAUCAGUGGGGAAUAUUGGGCAAUGGGCGAAAGCCUGACCCAGCGACGUCGCGUGGGCGAUGAAGGCCUUCGGGUUGUAAAGCCCUGUUGGGUGGAAAGAAGGGUCCAGAGACGAAUAAUCUUUGGACCUUGACGGUACCACCAGAGGAAGCACCGGCUAACUCCGUGCCAGCAGCCGCGGUAAUACGGAGGGUGCAAGCGUUGUUCGGAAUUACUGGGCGUAAAGGGCGCGUAGGUGGUUGUGUAAGUCGGAUGUGAAAUCCCCAGGCUCAACUUGGGAACCGCAUCUGAUACUGCAUGACUCGAGUACUGCAGAGGGAAACGGAAUUCCUGGUGUAGAGGUGAAAUUCGUAGAUAUCAGGAGGAACACCGGUGGCGAAGGCGGUUUCCUGGGCAGAUACUGACACUGAGGCGCGAAAGCGUGGGUAGCAAACAGGAUUAGAUACCCUGGUAGUCCACGCUGUAAACGGUGAGUGCUGGGUGUGGGAGGUGUAAUGCCUUCUGUGCCGAAGCUAACGCGUUAAGCAC
rnacentral:rRNA from 1 species